UACGUAGGGUGCGAGCGUUGUCCGGAAUUACUGGGCGUAAAGAGCUCGUAGGUGGUUUGUCGCGUUGUUCGUGAAAACUCACAGCUCAACUGUGGGCGUGCGGGCGAUACGGGCAGACUGGAGUACUGCAGGGGAGACUGGAAUUCCUGGUGUAGCGGUGGAAUGCGCAGAUAUCGGGAGGAACACCAAUGGCGAAGGCAGCUUGCUGGGACGGUACUGACGCUGAGGCGCGAAAGCGUGGGGAGCAAACAGGG
rnacentral:rRNA from 1 species